rnacentral:rRNA from 1 species
UACGUAGGGUGCAAGCGUUUAAUCGGAAUUACUGGGCGUAAAGCGUGCGCAGGCGGUUAUGUAAGACAGGUGUGAAAUCCCCGGGCUUAACCUGGGAACUGCAUUUGUGACUGCAUAGCUAGAGUACGGUAGAGGGGGAUGGAAUUCCGCGUGUAGCAGUGAAAUGCGUAGAUAUGCGGAGGAACACCGAUGGCGAAGGCAAUCCCCUGGACCUGUAC